UAAACACAGAUGUCGGGUAAAGACAAUUGUUUAUCAUAAUGUCUCCGUGUCAUGUGAAACUGAAGCAAAAGGUUAAGACACCAGAGACGAAAUUUAAACGUGCAUGCGAAUUCAAUGCAUGCACUCCAACAAGAACGAGUGGCAGUCUAAGAAGAACAGGUGGCGAUCAGACAAGAAUAAUCGGUGUCAUGGUGCCUCUUCUGGAAGGAUUCGUCGUCGUUCUUUUCUUAAGGAUCCAUCAAUAGCGUCAUCUCCAAGAACUUAUUACCGACUUUAUCCCAAAGGAUUUGGCGUCAUUCCACUCUCCACAAGUUCUCAUCGACGUCAGCAAUUACAAGAACUUUUCGACACUCUUUUAUAUCCAAGGACUUAUCUUCCCAUUGUGGAUGACAUCAUCUAUAUUUUGUUGUUAU
rnacentral:lncRNA from 1 species